AACUUUAACAACAAAUAACUUAAAAACUAUAAGCCUCCUGCGGCUAAAAGUAUAUAUAUUUGCAAUCAGGAGAACUCCCCCUACCCCCCCAUAGCCACCUUUUUUUUGUACGCGGGGGAUGCCAAACUAAAAUUUUGCCAA